rnacentral:rRNA from 1 species
AGUGAACGCUGGCGGUAGGCCUAACACAUGCAAGUCGAACGGCAGCACAGUAAGAGCUUGCUCUUACGGGUGGCGAGUGGCGGACGGGUGAGGAAUACGUCGGAAUCUACUUUUUCGUGGGGGAUAACGUAGGGAAACUUACGCUAAUACCGCAUACGACCUACGGGUGAAAGCAGGGGAUCUUCGGACCUUGCGCGAUUGAAUGAGCCGAUGUCGGAUUAGCUAGUUGGCGGGGUAAAGGCCCACCAAGGCGACGAUCCGUAGCUGGUCUGAGAGGAUGAUCAGCCACACGGGAACUGAGACACGGUCCAGACGCCGACGGGAGGCAGCAGUGGGGAAUAUUGGACAAUGGGCGCAAGCCUGAUCCAGCCAUACCGCGUGGGUGAAGAAGGCCUUCGGGUUGUAAAGCCCUUUUGUUGGGAAAGAAAAGCAGCAGGUUAAUACCCCGCUGUUCUGACGGUACCCAAAGAAUAAGCACCGGCUAACUUCGUG